rnacentral:tRNA from 1 species
AGUUCUGUAUUCAAUGAUGAUUUCAAACUGCAAAUUUGAAGGAGGAGUCUUUCCCAGAACUU